CAGCCGCCACGGGAAAACAGAGGGUGCAAGCGUUAAUCGGAAUUACUGGGCGUAAAGCGCGCGUAGGUGGUUUGUUAAGUUGGAUGUGAAAGCCCCGGGCUCAACCUGGGAACUGCAUCCAAAACUGGCAAGCUAGAGUACGGUAGAGGGUGGUGGAAUUUCCUGUGUAGCGGUGAAAUGCGUAGAUAUAGGAAGGAACACCAGUGGCGAAGGCGACCACCUGGACUGAUACUGACACUGAGGUGCGAAAGCGUGGGGAGCAAACAGGAUUAGAUACCCGUGUAGUCCAUGUAUCUUAUAA
rnacentral:rRNA from 1 species